UGGGGAAUAUUGCACAAUGGGGGAAACCCUGAUGCAGCGACGCCGCGUGAACGAAGAAGGUAUUCGUAUCGUAAAGUUCUGUCCUAUGGGAAGAUAAUGACAGUACCAUAGAAGAAAGCUCCGGCUAAAUACGUGCCAGCAGCCGCGGUAAUACGUAUGGAGCGAGCGGUGUCCGGAAUUAUUGGGCGUAAAGGGUACGCAGGCGGUUUAAUAAGUCGAAUGUUAAAGAUCGGGGCUCAACCCCGCAAAGCAUUGGAAACUGAUAAACUUGAGAAGUGGAGAGGAAAGUGGAAUUCCUAGUGUAGUGGUGAAAUACGUAGAUAUUAGGAGGAAUACCAGUAGCGAAGGCGACUUUCUGGACACAAACUGACGCUGAGGUACGAAAGCGUGGGGAGCAAACAGG
rnacentral:rRNA from 1 species